rnacentral:rRNA from 1 species
GGCCACGACCAUACCACGUUGAUAAAAAUCACACCGGUUUUCUUCUGAUCACCACAUUUAAGCAACGUCGGGCCCGGUUGGUACUGGGAAUACCAGGCAUUGCGACCG